CUACGGAGGGUGCAAGCGUUAUCCGGAUUCAUUGGGUUUAAAGGGUGCGCAGGCGGAUAAUUAAGUCAGUGGUGAAAUCCCGGGGCUCAACCCCGGAACUGCCAUUGAUACUGAUAAUCUGGAAUACGGUUGAAGUGGGCGGAAUGUAGCAUGUAGCGGUGAAAUGCAUAGAGAUGCUACAGAACACCGAUCGCGAAGGCAGCUCACUAAACCGAUAUUGACGCUCAGGCACGAAAGCGUGGGGAGCGAACAGGAUUAGAAACCCUAGUAGUCC
rnacentral:rRNA from 1 species